rnacentral:lncRNA from 1 species
GGCAGCCCCAGCGUUAUGCAACUAAUGGCUGUGUUCAUGAAAAGAAAUCCAGGCUACAAGACACUGGGAGCAAGAAGGAGGAUGAAAGACAGGUACACAGUGGAGACUCCAUUAGAGACG